rnacentral:rRNA from 1 species
UAGGGAAUCUUCCGCAAUGGACGAAAGUCUGACGGAGCAACGCCGCGUGAGUGAAGAAGGCUUUCGGUUCGUAAAACUCUGUUGUUAGGGAAGAAAAAAUGUAUAGUAACUAUAUACAAAAGAGACGGUACCUAACCAGAAAGUCACGGCUAACUACGUGCCAGCAGCCGCGGUAAUACGUAGGUGGCAAGCGUUGUCCGGAAUUAUUGGGCGUAAAGCGCGCGCAGGUGGUUUAGAAAGUCUGAUGUGAAAGCCCACGGCGCAACCGUGGAGGGUCAUUGGAAACUAAGAAACUUGAGUGCAGGAGAGAAAAGUGGAAUUCCUAGUGUAGCGGUGAAAUGCGUAGAGAUUAGGAGGAACACCGGUGGCGAAAGCGGCUUUUUGGCCUGCAACUGACACUGAGGCGCGAAAGCGUGGGGAGCAAACAGG